AUCCAGGUGACGAGUUCCAAAUAGGACGAAACGUGAGUCAAACUAGAU
rfam:Schistosoma curassoni strain Dakar, Senegal genome assembly, scaffold: SCTD_scaffold0004148